rnacentral:lncRNA from 1 species
CCUCUAGCCACUUCCGGUUGCUAACGGUUCCCAAACAGCCCCCGAAAACGCUACGUGAGCUGGGCCCUGGGCCAGAGGCAGAAAACGGACGGAAGAAAAGGUCUGGCCGGAGAUGGGUCUCACUCUGUCACCCAGACUGGAGUGCAGUGAGUGGUGCGAUCAUAGCUUACUGCAGCCUGAAACUCCUGGGCUCAAGUGAUCUUCUCGCCUCAGCCUCCUGAGUAGCUGGAGCUACAGGUGUGAGCUACCCAGCAUGGCUCAUUUGAGAUUUCUGAGUAGAGAAGUAACAUGAUUAAACUUGGGAAUGAGCAUAGAUGAACAAUGUUGCAUCACGCUUGACAUCACCGGGGCUUCUUUCCAGUGUGGAUUUGCUCAUGUAAAAUGAGGUGUGAGCUCUGCCUGAAAGCUUUUCCAUAUGCAUCACAUUUGCAGGGCUUUUCUCCAGUGUGGGUUCUUUGGUGUCUCAAAAGAUGUGAGCUGUUACUGAAAGCUUUCCCACACACAUCACACUCAUAGGGCUUCUCUCUACCGUGGAUUCGCUGGUGUCCAACAAGAGCUGAACUGUAUCUGAAGGCCUUUCCACGCUUGUCACAUUCAUAUAGUUUCUUUCCACUGUGGAUUUUCUGGUGACAGAAGAGGCCCAAGCACUAGCUAAAGCUUUUCCCUCACUCACUACACUGCUAUGGCUUCUCUUCAGUAUGAACUCUGAUGUUGUCUCAGAUAUGAACUCAGAGAGGAUUUCCCACAAUCAUUACACUGGUAUGGUUUCUUUUCCGUGUGAGUUCUCUGGUGUCAAAUAACAUCUGAGCUGUGAUGAAAGACUUUCCCACACUCACUACAUUGGAAAGGUUUCUCCUGUGUGGGUCCUUCAAUGCUGAAUAAGAUAUGAACUGUAAUAAAAGACUUUUUCACACUCAUCACACUGAUAGGGUUUUAUAUGGCUAUGUAUUCUCUGAUGGUCAGUAAGUUGUGAGCUCUGAGUAAAAGUUUUGCUACAUACAUUACAUGAAGAGGGUGUGUUACCAGUACAGAUUAUUUUAUGUCUAAUGGGGCUUGAGUUUUGAGUGAAUGUUUUCCCACAUUCAUCACACAUAUAUUUUCUCUCAGUUGAUUGUGUUUCUCUGAUAUAUUUCUUUGUUUUUUGUUUGUUUGUUUGUAUAAGACGGAGUCUCGCUCUGUCGCCCAGGCUGGAGUGCAGUGACGUGAUCUUGGCUCAGUGCAACCUGAGGCUCCCAGGUUCAAGGGAUUCUCCUCUCAGCCUCCCAAGUAGCUGGGAUUACAGGCUUACACCACCACACCUGGCUAAUUUUUGUAUUUUUAGUAGAGACGGGGUUUCACCAUGUUGGCUAGUCUGG